rnacentral:rRNA from 1 species
CCUACGGGAGGCAGCAGUGGGGAAUUUUGGACAAUGGGCGAAAGCCUGAUCCAGCAAUGCCGCGUGAGUGAAGAAGGCCUUCGGGUUGUAAAGCUCUUUUGUCAGGGAAGAAACGGUGUGGGCUAAUAUCCCGCACUAAUGACGGUACCUGAAGAAUAAGCACCGGCUAACUACGUGCCAGCAGCCGCGGUAAUACGUAGGGUGCAAGCGUUAAUCGGAAUUACUGGGCGUAAAGCGUGCGCAGGCGGUUUUGUAAGUCUGUCGUGAAAGCCCCGGGCUCAACCUGGGAAUUGCGAUGGAGACUGCAAGGCUUGAAUCUGGCAGAGGGGGGUAGAAUUCCACGUGUAGCAGUGAAAUGCGUAGAGAUGUGGAGGAACACCGAUGGCGAAGGCAGCCCCCUGGGUCAAGAUUGACGCUCAUGCACGAAAGCGUGGGGAGCAAACAGGAUUAGAUACCCUGGUAGUCCACGCCCUAAACGNUGUCUACUAGUUGUCGGGUUUUAAUACUUGGUAACGCAGCUAACGCGUGAAGUAGACCGCGUGGGGAGUACGGUCGCAAGAUUAAAACCGUCGAAAAGUAGUAGUCGGACGCGUGAGAGCGACGACGACGACGACGGAGGGAGGAGG